rnacentral:rRNA from 1 species
UACAGAGGUGGCAAGCGUUGUUCGGAAUUACUGGGCGUAAAGGGCGCGUAGGCGGCCAUCUAAGUCAGACGUGAGAUCCCCCGGCUCAACCUGGGAACUGCGUCUGAUACUGGAAGGCUCGAGUUUGGGAGAGGGAUGUAGAAUUCCAGGUGUAGCGGUGAAAUGCGUAGAUAUCUGGAGGAAUACCGGUGGCGAAGGCGGCUCACUGGCCCGGUACUGACGCUGAGGUGCGAAAGCGUGGGGAGCAAACAGG